GUUGCAUCAACUUCAACAUCACAACAACAUGCUGAAAAUCAGAGCGAUAAUACUGAUGAAGUUGCGGCAACUGAACCUACCGUACAUACUCAUUCUGACUCUUGUACAACACAAUCAGCAGCUGGUUCAGCCGAGCAACACCAUGCUGAAAAUCAAAGUGAUGACAUUGAGAUGGAAAGACUUACAGUUUCUACAGCACAAUCAGCAGCUAAUUCAACAGAGCAGCAAUGUGCUGCUGAGAUAAGCAAUGCUGAUGAUACUACUGUGAGUCAUAGUUGUUUUUUUUGUGGUAAAAGCAGAAAAAAAGUAAAAGGCCGCGAGGAACAGUUAUUUGUACUUACGAAGUCA